rnacentral:misc_RNA from 1 species
AAGUCGUAACAAGGUUUCCGUAGGUGAAUGUGUAGAAAGAUCAUUAAAGAAUAUUCCCUUUUUAGUAUAUCUUUCUUAUCCGUUUGUCUACUUACUCUGUUGUUUCUAUGGUGCCAGUCAUGUUUAGCUCUAGACAGCUAAUUAAUGUCACCUGUUUAGAAGUACCCAUAGGUAGUUUUCCCUCUAGAGGGAAGACUUUGAAAAACCUUAUGUGAUAGAAUUGUCUGAAGAUAUAUAAAAAUAUAAAACUUUUAACAAUGGAUUUCUAUGCUCUU